rnacentral:rRNA from 1 species
GACGAAACGCUGGCGGCGUGCCUAAUACAUGCAAGUCGAGCGGGGGAUUAUGCUUGAUCGCUUCGGUGAGACGGCAUAUAUCCUAGCGGCGGACGGGUGAGUAACGCGUGGGUAAUCUACCUCGUAGUUCGGGAUAACAGGCCGAAAGGCUUGCUAAUACCGGAUGAGUUCAUGCUUAUGCAUAUAGGCAUGAAGAAAGGGCUAGCCCGCUAUGAGAUGAGCCCGCGUCCCAUUAGCUUGUUGGUGGGGUAACGGCCUACCAAGGCAACGAUGGGUAGCCGGCCUGAGAGGGUGUACGGCCACACUGGGACUGAGACACGGCCCAGACUCCUACGGGGGGGCAGCAGUAGGGAAUAUUGCACAAUGGAGGAAACUCUGAUGCAGCAACGCCGCGUGGAGGAUGACGCAUUUUCGGUGUGUAAACUUCCUUUUAUAAGGGAAGAUAAUGACGGUUACCUUAUAGAAUAAGCACCGGCUAACUCCGUGCCAGCAGCCGAC